UACGUAGGUGGCAAGCGUUGUCCGGAUUUAUUGGGUUUAAAGGGUGCGUAGGCGGGCCAUUAAGUCAGUGGUGAAAGCUCCGAGCUUAACUCGGAAUCUGCCAUUGAUACUAUUGGUCUUGAAUUCGGUCGAGGUUGGCGGAAUGUGUCGUGUAGCGGUGAAAUGCUUAGAUAUGACACAGAACACCGAUUGCGAAGGCAGCUAGCUAGACCGACAUUGACGCUGAGGCACGAAAGCGUGGGGAUCAAACAGG
rnacentral:rRNA from 1 species